rnacentral:rRNA from 1 species
UACGUAGGGGGCGAGCGUUGUCCGGAUUCAUUGGGCGUAAAGAGCUCGUAGGCGGUUCAGUAAGUCGGGUGUGAAAUCUCCGUGCUCAACACGGAGCGGCCACCUGAUACUGCUGUGACUCGAGUCCGGUAGGGGAGUGUGGAAUUCCCGGUGUAGCGGUGAAAUGCGCAGAUAUCGGGAGGAACACCUGCGGUGUAGACGGCUUUCUGGACCAUUGCUGACGCUGAGACACGAAAGCGUGGGUAGCAAACAGG